rnacentral:rRNA from 1 species
UACGAAGGGGGCUAGCGUUGCUCGGAAUGACUGGGCGUAAAGGGCGCGUAGGCGGAUUGCUUUGUCUGACGUGAAAUUCCAGGGCUCAACCUUGGGGCUGCGUUUGAGACGGGUGAUCUUGAGUUCGGAAGAGGGUCGUGGAAUUCCCAGUGUAGAGGUGAAAUUCGUAGAUAUUGGGAAGAACACCGGUGGCGAAGGCGGCGACCUGGUCCGAGACUGACGCUGAGGCGCGAAAGCGUGGGGAGCAAACAGG